UUUUACAUCAACACCCCAUUGAAAAGAAAUCGUAAACCCAAGACUUCAGUUGUGCAAGAAACAGCUACAGCUGCCGACGACUCUGUUGCACCAGUGCAUACGUUUGUUAUGCAGGAUCACAUCAUCAAUGAUGUCUACACAAAACUUCUUGCUGACCAACAACUUAACACGGAGCUAGUUACAUCGACUGCUGGGGAAAGCCUGAACAUCGAUGAAUUGGACAAUAUUGCACGCCAGAACGCGGUCAGAUUUGAAGAAAACGGAGGUGUGUCCUACAACAACUACGAUGAAGUGAAAUUGUAAAUUGUAAUCCUCCGAAAUAUUUAGUUCAAAAGGUCCUGCAGUUUAUACCAUUUUGAAAUUUGAAGUUCGUAUCAGAUAAAACAAGUUAACGAUUAAUGUACACAAGAAAGAUUUGCGAAACAUGAAUUAUUUUCGACGUAUUCUUGUUUUCCUAUACUAUUUCUCUUACAAACAACAAGAACGUGAUACUUCAAAAACAGCCCUCUGUUAUAUCUCGUGAUAAAUUAAAGAUAAAUCUGAUAAUGCAAUCAAGCUUUUAAAAUAAUUAUGUUCUUAUUUAUUUAAAUAUUAUAUAUGGUCUGGAACAAUCAGUUUUGUCUGAGAUUAUUUAAAAGUGAUUGAUUGCUUGGGUCAAAAGCCAAUUCAAUGAUAUAACAGCGACCUUUCAACACAGAUGCUUUGAAAGAUAAGAUAUUUAGCUUAUAAUUUACCGGACAAACACAAUAGACAUAAUUUAUCACGUUCUUAUGACGUUUUCUGUUAAUUAAGUUGUUAAUGUAGAUACUUAAUUAAAUGGUUUUGUUGGAUUGUAAGAUAUGGCUUGUAAUUAUGUGUGUAUGUUUGCGCAUGUUGCUGUAUCUUAUGUAUUGUAGGUUAUGUCUAUCACCUUUCUUAUACUUGUAUACGUAUUUUAUGCGAUUCGAACUUAUUAUUGUGUAUGUUAGCCUUUUAGUAUAGCAAUGCAAAUAGUAUCGAAAAUGGUAGCGAGUUCUGAUAUUAUCGUAUCAAGUUUUUGUAUAGUUACAAAGCACAUAUUUGUAUCAAAUCAUGUAAUUCACCAUAAAAAUGACCUUCACCCAUAUAUAAUGUACCUGCUCAUUCUAAGCGGAUCGUUUUUAUUCUAAUAUGUACUAAACCAUGCAAAAUCAACUUUAUAUAUUUAGGUAGGAAGCCCGUGUAUGCAACUGCCGCAAAAACAAUACAUACGUGAAUUUUAAUGAAAUAAAAAAUAUGUAUUUAAAAAAAAUAUAUACGUAUACAGUUUAACACGAUUGUGCUGAUUAUAUAUUUAUCACUGUAUUUGUUUCAUGUUUUUA